UCAUUUGAAACAGUUGCUAACAUGCCCUUGAACACUAAAAUCUGUUAUCUAUACUGCCAUUAAAACAAUGAAAUGCCUAGUAUCUGCGAUGUAUAGAUGAGUAUGUGCAACAAAGUAUGCGCCAUGAAUUAUAAUUUACCUAAUCGUGCAGCAUGGUGCUUUUUAGGAUGAAGUUUGCAUCAAAGUAGAGCUAAGGUCUUAAACUGACUUCUGCUGGAUACAAAGCUUUUACCCUUAGUCCUGAAGUUUUAUACAUAUUCCAAAAUAAAGGUUAUUCAU